AGCAGCCGCGGUAAUACGUAGGGUGCAAGCGUUAUCCGGAAUUAUUGGGCGUAAAGAGCGCGGAGGCGGUUUGUCGCGUCUGCUGUGAAAACUGGGGGCUCAACCCCCAGCCUGCAGUGGGUACGGGCAGACGAGAGUGCGGUAGGGGAGAUUGGAAUUCCUGGUGUAGCGGUGGAAUGCGCAGAUAUCAGGAGGAACACCGAUGGCGAAGGCAGAUCUCUGGGCCGUAACUGACGCUGAGGAGCGAAAGCAUGGGGAGCGA
rnacentral:rRNA from 1 species